AUAGUAUGGGAAAGGCUCCUGUAUGGUUAAAGCUACCAAAGGACAGUGCAGCUUUGUACUUGGCAUCCUUUAACCUAAAGUAAAUUCCCAAGGGAACAUUCUCUAGGGUUAGAAUUUCCAUUAACAGAUGUGAAGUCCUAGCAGCAGUUUGAUAACCAUGUAUGAUACUGUGAACAAAA
ensembl:scaRNA LOC120102641 small Cajal body-specific RNA 16